AAUAAGGUGCCUGAUUAAAGGGUCAUUUUGAUGUAAUGAAUAAAAUAUAUAUUGUAUUCUUAUUG
rnacentral:tRNA from 2 species